UAAUACGGAGGAUGCAAGCGUUAUCCGGAUUUAUUGGGUUUAAAGGGUGCGCAGGCGGAAAAAUAAGUCAGUGGUGAAAUCCUGCAGCUUAACUGUAGAAUUGCCGUUGAUACUGUUAUUCUUGAGUGUGGUCAAGGUAGGCGGAAUGUGUAAUGUAGCGGUGAAAUGCUUAGAUAUUACACAGAACACCGAUUGCGAAGGCAGCUUACUGGGCCAUUACUGACGCUCAUGCACGAAAGCGUGGGGAUCGAACAGGAUUAGAUACCCUGGUAGUCCACGCCGUAAACGAUGAUCACUCGCUGUUGGCGAUACACAGUCAGCGGCUAAGCAAAAGCAUUAAGUGAUCCACCUGGGGAGUACGACCGCAAGGUUGAAACUUAAAUGAAUUGACGG
rnacentral:rRNA from 1 species